CACGCCGGCAGCACAAUGAUGAUGUCACUGACUCUACUGCUGGCCACCCUGGGGCUCCUUGUUCAGGGUUCAUCAGGACAAAUCAUCGUGACUCAGUCUCCUGGAGCUCAGUCUGUGGUUGCAGGGCAGACUGUCUCCAUCACAUGUAGAACCAGUACAAGUGUUUACAGUACUUACUAUAAGAAAAACCUGCUUUCCUGGUACCUCCAGAAACCUGGAGGAGCUCCUAAACUCCUGAUUUAUCUAGCUACAUCUCGUCAGUCUGGAGUUUCAGAUCGUUUCAGUGGGAAUGGAUCUGGUACUGACUUCACUCUGAGCAUCAGAGGAGUCCAGGCUGAAGAUUCAGGAGUUUAUUACUGUCAGAGCGUCCUAUGGUGGAACAAUCAAGACGUGUUCACGUUCGGUGGAGGAACCAGGCUCAAUGUUGACUUGGGACAAGUCGCACCCACCCUGACGGUGCUGCCCCCCUCCAGAGAGGAGCUGCAGCAGGGGAAGGCCACGCUCAUGUGCCUGGCCAACAAGGGCUUCCCCUCAGACUGGAGUCUGUCCUGGAAGGUGGACGGCAGCGGCAGCAUCAGCUGGGAGGAGGGCAGGAGCCCAGGGGUGCUGCAGGAGGACGGCCUCUACAGCUGGAGCAGCACCCUGAGGCUCCCUGCAGACCAGUGGGAGAAGGUGGGCUCUGUGACCUGUGAGGCCACCCAGGGCUCCCACACUCCUCUCUCACAGACACUGAGGAGAGACCAGUGUUCCCAGUCCUGAGCUGACUCGCUGGUUUUCCUCUGCAGGUCUCUCUUUCUGUCACUCGUCUUUGUUUUGUUCAUCAUUUCACUGUUUGACACAAUAAAGAUUCAUUCAAAGAAA